CGGGUGAGCAACACGUAUCCAACCUGCCGUCUACUCUUGGCCAGCCUUCUGAAAGGAAGAUUAAUCCAGGAUGGCAUCAUGAGUUCACAUGUCCGCAUGAUUAAAGGUAUUUUCCGGUAGACGAUGGGGAUGCGUUCCAUUAGAUAGUAGGCGGGGUAACGGCCCACCUAGUCAACGAUGGAUAGGGGUUCUGAGAGGAAGGUCCCCCACAUUGGAACUGAGACACGGUCCAA
rnacentral:rRNA from 1 species